rnacentral:tRNA from 2 species
GUUAAUGUAGCUUAAAAAUAAAGCAAAGCACUGAAAAUGCUUAGAUGGGCCGAAUCGCCCCAUAAACA